CAGCUCCUUUAUUUCACAGAUACCUAUGGACCACCUACUUACCUGCCAAUUUUUACUCCAGACACAGGGGAUUCAGGAGGAAACAGAACAAAGGUCCUGUCCUCAGGAAACUUAUAUCACUUUGGUGGCGCAGACCGACAACAAAGAAAUACACCAUGUCAAAAUAUGUCAGGUGAUGGGGCCCUGGCAUUAUCCCAGCCACACACACCAGAGGAGGUUGAAGACAGAAGAGGUGAAGAGAAUCAUGGCCACAGGUGUCCUACUGUGUGAACUGGAGACUUGGUGAUCAUCAGGUGGCUCUUGGAGUAGCAAAAAAGGCUGUCCUCCACCUAGCAGCCAGUGCAAGCUUAAAAAUGCGAAUCAUUUCUAGCCUGAAAACCUUCCGGUGGCCUCCCGCCGCAUCUGGAAUAAAUCCAAACUUCCGACUAUGGCCUGCCUCCAUUCCAAUCUUUGAAACUUUGUGGCCUCAUCUCCCAGUCCUCUGGCACCCUCUGCCUCAGCCACAUAGGCCAGAGCCUUUGCACUUGACCUGCCUUCUCCUGGACCCCUUUGCAGUGGGGUGCUGUCUUGGCUCCAGAUUUCAGCUCGACAUGGUGACAUUAUCGGUGGCACCUUCCCUGACUUCUCCAUUUAAAUCGGUACCUCCAGGGGUUCCUGGCUGGCUCAGCUGGAAGAGCAUUCGACUCUUGAUCUCAGGAUUGUGAGUUUGAGCUCCACAUUGGGUGUGGAGGUUACUUAAAUUAACAAAGAAAUAAGCUUAAAACAAAUGGCAUCUUCAGUCUCUCUCUGGCCCAUCUCUCCGACUUCUUUUCUCCCGGCACUAACAGAGCCUGAGAGUCACUUCUGCACAGAGGUAAGUGGGAGCAGCCCCCUGCAGUAGGAAGGACGCUGGAUCGGAUGGGGCGGGGCCUCCAGACCACGUGCACAUCCGACAAGGUCUCUGCCAGCCCCUGAGGCACCCAGAGCAAAGCCUGCCCUUUGGAGGAGUCCUGAAUUGGGUGCAAAAGGUUAGAUCCUGUACCACCUCUGGGCUUAGUCAAGGGCUGGAACCAUCAGCUCAGAAGCUGGGGUUCAAGAGCAUGAGAAGGCAAGCCAUAGAUGGGGAGAAUAUAUUUGCAAAAGCCAGAUCUAAGUAAGAACCGUUAUCCAGAAUGUACAAAGAACUCGGCAAUGAGAAAACAAACAACCCAAUUUUUAAAAUGGGCCAAACACCUGAACAGACAUCUCACCAAAGAAGACAUACAGAUGGCAAAUAAGCAUAUGAAAAGAUGCUCCGCAUCCAAUGUCAUUUGGGAAUUGCAAAUUAAAACAACACUGAGCUGCUACCGUUAGAAAGGCCACAUUCUGGAACACCGAUGACACCAAAUGCUGGUGAGGAUGUGGAACAUCAAGAACUCUUACUCAGGGCGCCUGGCUGGCUCAGUCAGUAGAACGGGUGACUCUUGAUCUGGAGGUCAUGAGUUCGAGCCCCACGUGGGGUGUAAAGCUUACAUUUAAAAA